rnacentral:lncRNA from 1 species
GGGGACCAGCGCGGCAGCUGGUCGCGCACGGUCUCCAGCGCCCGGUGUGGAACUGUUCAACCCAAAACACGAUCACCAACCACUGACAUGUUUUAAGAAACGCUACAGUUGGAUGACUGCGGAACCCAAACAGACCAAAUGGGAGGCAAGAAGGGAAAGCAAUUGGCCCAAUUCGGUUGGAGCGGCGGCUCGUGUUACACUCCCUUUGCCAGUUAGCGGCGUGGGCGUUUGUUGCUGUGUUAAUUACAGUUCUUCCCGGAGUCGGAGGCGAGAACAGCCCUUGUGGAACCGUUUCAAGUGGAACGUUCCACCAGGAGGAAAACAACUGCCUUCCUCCCCAUCUGGGCGGGAUUCCACCCCGCAGCUCUCGGCGAAAGCCGAGCCGGAGAUGUUGCUGAAUGUGCACAGGGUCGGGUCGUAUCGCUGGUGCUGGAGGAGUCAGGAUUCCUGGACACGGUGGCCCCGCUCCAGAGUCCACGGUGCAGCCCAGCCCUACGCGGCCUGUAAAGUGAUAACGUGUACUGGGGAUCGAACUCGGGUUCUUGCGCUUUCACAGCAGGCAGCGAAACCACUGAGCUAAAUCUCCGGCCCCAGCACCCUCCUUUUCUUCGUUGUGUGUUUCCCUUUUAUGCUCCUUGUUAUGAGGUGAACUGUGUCCUCCCAAAAUGCAUACGUGAAACCCUAUCUCCCAGCACCUCGGAUGUGACUGUAUUUGGUUGAUAGGGGCUUUAGAGAGGUGAUGAGGGUGAGCCCCAACCCAAUACUUAGAAUACUGGUGCCCUUCUAUGGAGAGACUGGACCGAAGAUAAACACAGAGGAAGUCACAUGAAGACACAGAAGGGUCAUCUGCGAGCCAUGGAGAGACCAAUUCUGAUGGCACCUUGGCCUUGGACUUCUGGCCUCCAGACUUAUGAGAAAGUUUUGUUGAGAAGCCACCCAUUCGUGGCACUUGGUUGUGGUCAUCUUUGAAAGCCAGUGACUCCUCCAGAGACUGUGCCCCUGGGCCACCAUCCAUCCAUGUGGAGCUGUGGGCCCUCCAUGCUGCCAGCUCACUCAGUGCCUACAUUUCACCAGGACUGUUUCCCACCCCUGGGCCUCUGCUUUGUUCUGGGUGGUGUUUGUUUUCAGAACUGUUGUUCCCUGAGAAUGGAUGAAGAGCACUGCUCUGUGUCUUGGGAGACUCCUGCAGUGGGGAGGGACUCUGGUGUCCAGGGCUGGGCUUGUGGGAGCCAGAGUGGUCAGAGACACCUCCCUGAGCUCAGUUCACAGCUGUCAGAGGACUGUUGAGCCACCUGUUCUCAGCACCAUCUCUGGCGGUGGAUUCCUCAUGUGCUGCCCUCUGUGAGCAUGCACAGAACAGAAAGAAAUGUGUUCCUCCUCACUAGCAAGGCAGGAAUGUGGGAUAUCAUUUCACUUAUAAUUCAUGCUUCUUCUUCUUCCUCUUUUUGAAAUUAAUAGUGAUUCUGAAUUUCAGCUAAGCCUUGUUUUUUAGUAUACAAAAUAAAGACUAAAGAGCGUUGAAGACUGAUUCAGAGCUUAAAGUAACCCUCAGAGGAAACAAAUACUGAUUUGCUCACACAGGCGCCUGUCAGGGUACAAUUUGUGCUUGGAUAACCCUGUUAGCUAAACUGAGCAGAUUCCAAGUCCUGCCUACAGACUUUGGGACAGACCUAUUCAGAAGAGGACUUGUCCUUGGCGACUUCUGUGUUCAUUACAGCUAGCCUUUAUGAUGGAUUGAGACAGUGAUUAUGAGGAAGGUGCCGAUGAACUGUUCUUCAUCUUCC